UACGAAGGGAGCUAGCGUUGUUCGGAAUCACUGGGCGUAAAGCGCACGUAGGCGGACAUUUAAGUCAGGGGUGAAAUCCCAGAGCUCAACUCUGGAACUGCCUUUGAUACUGGGUGUCUUGAGUAUGGAAGAGGUGAGUGGAAUUCCGAGUGUAGAGGUGAAAUUCGUAGAUAUUCGGAGGAACACCAGUGGCGAAGGCGGCUCACUGGUCCAUUACUGACGCUGAGGUGCGAAAGCGUGGGGAGCAAACAGG
rnacentral:rRNA from 1 species